CGCGGGCCGGUCGCCGGGCGGACGCGCCGGACGGGAAUGACGGUCAUGCUUACGUUCGGAGGUGGAGUGUGUCCGCCGAGAAGGUGCAAUAAUUUCUUACUCAGAACAGAGCGCCGUGGUGAUGCAUGACAGAUAAAAGGGCAGCCAGAAUUUGUCUUUCCAUUGGAUGACGCACCGAUAAUUUUCUUCUAAAGCCACAAACCACAGAGUUUAAUUCUAAAUGCAGGAGAACAAUUACAGCUCAUACCUGCAGCUUAUAUUUCAGGAAUAAGAAUAAAUCUACCCUCACAAAGCUUGCAGUUUUUUGUUUUUUUUGUUGUCUUUUGUUUUUAGGUUGAAUAGGAACCUGCACACCAGCAUUUUUGAAAUAAAGCCCUUCAACUGAGAGUGGAUGGUGGGUAUUUUCAGGUGCUGGAGAGACAGAGCAGUGAGGCAAAUAGGAUGAACUCAAAGCAGAUAAAAUAACAGGCUCUGUUAUCCACACUGAACACAAGCACAGUGGAAAAAUACUGUUGACCGCACCGUUUUGGCCAGCACUUCCCCUUCGACGUUGACUCAAAAUGUCACCUGUGUAUCAUGACCUUUAAUGUUAAGAUCCUUCUUUUGUUCUGAAGGACAAAGACGACCUUCCUGCUAUGAAGCUUACAGGAAACUAAACCAAUGGAACUGACGAACAAAGCAGCAACAGAUUCUGCACAUACAGUUAUCAAUACUAAUGAAAUGAUAAAUGUUAUUGGAAAUAUUCUUUAUUUCGGACUCAAAAGACUUUCUUUUCUUGCCUCUGUGUAUUUGCAUGACAAAUAAAUGUUACACUACAUUACAACAGAAGCUGUCAUGAUUAUUUCAGAGUAAACAGGAAGCAUGUUAGGAAACGUGUCGGCUGCUGACAGGCCUUCGCUGUCCUUUGUUCACUUAAAAAAUAAGAGAGUUUACUGAAAUCUUAUCUUGUCUGGGAUGGAACAAAGUGUCCCUGGUGCCGACACAAAAGAAAAGACCAAAGAACACAAAGUCACACAUUUAGUUUAAAAUCUUUUCUCUUUCCAGGAAAAGAUUACCCAGCUGUGUAUUAUUUAUCAGCCUGAUGCAGAUUUACAUUCAUAUAUAUUCACCCAGCGCAGCGCUGUGCUGUUGGACGCUGGACAACAGUUCUUCAUAAUUCAGAUGCAUUCUGGGCUUUAUGAUUAAUAAUUAAUAUCCGAGGUGUGUUGUUUUUGCUUUUGCACAUUUUUGCUUUCAGGUCUCAAGUGAAGUCAAGUGUUCAGGCUGUCAAGUUUCACAGCAGGUCGUCCAGAGGCAGUUUGAAGUUGUGUGUGUCCAUGUACUGGUAGAAAGGAGCCAUGAUGGCACUG